CAGUCGCCACGGUAAAACAGAGGGUGCGAGCGUUAAUCGGAUUUACUGGGCGUAAAGCGUGCGUAGGCGGCUUCUUAAGUCGGAUGUGAAAUCCCUGAGCUUAACUUAGGAAUUGCAUUCGAUACUGGGAAGCUAGAGUAUGGGAGAGGAUGGUAGAAUUCCAGGUGUAGCGGUGAAAUGCGUAGAGAUCUGGAGGAAUACCGAUGGCGAAGGCAGCCAUCUGGCCUAAUACUGACGCUGAGGUACGAAAGCAUGGGGAGCAAACAGGAUUAGAUACCCGCGUAGUCCCUGUCUCUUAUAC
rnacentral:rRNA from 1 species